UACGGAGGGUGCGAGCGUUAAUCGGAAUUACUGGGCGUAAAGCGUACGCAGGCGGUUUGUUAAGCGAGAUGUGAAAGGCCCGGGCUCAACCUGGGAACUGCAUUUUGAACUGGCAAACUAGAGUGUGAUAGAGGGUGGUAGAAUUUCAGGUGUAGCGGUGAAAUGCGUAGAGAUCUGAAGGAAUACCGAUGGCGAAGGCAGCCACCUGGGUCAACACUGACGCUCAUGUACGAAAGCGUGGGGAGCAAACAGG
rnacentral:rRNA from 1 species